CUACGGGGUGCAGCAGUGAGGAAUAUUGCACAAUGGGGGGAACCCUGAUGCAGCAACGCCGCGUGGAGGAUGACGCAUUUCGGUGUGUAAACUCCUUUUAUAUGUCAAGAAAAUGACGGUAGCAUAUGAAUAAGCACCGGCUAACUCCGUGCCAGCAGCCGCGGUAUACGGAGGGUGCAAGCGUUACUCGGAAUCACUGGGCGUAAAGGACGCGUAGGCGGGUUGGAAAGUCAGGUGUGAAAUCCUACAGCUUAACUGUAGAACUGCACUUGAAACUUCUAAUCUAGAGUAUGGGAGGGGGAGAUGGAAUUAGUGGUGUAGGGGUAACAUCCGUAGAUAUCACUAGGAAUACCUAAAGCGAAGGCGAUCUCCUGGAACAUUACUGACGCUAAGGCGUGAAAGCGUGGGGAGCAAACAGGAUUAGAUACCCCUGUAGUC
rnacentral:rRNA from 1 species